rnacentral:rRNA from 1 species
UACAGAGGCCUCAAGCGUUGUUCGGAUUCAUUGGGCGUAAAGGGUGCGUAGGCUGUUCCGUAAGUCGGGUGUGAAAUCCUGGGGCUCAACCUCAGAACUGCAUUCGAUACUGCGGGGCUAGAGGACUGGAGAGGAGAGUGGAAUUCACGGUGUAGCAGUGAAAUGCGUAGAUAUCGUGAGGAAGACCAGCGGCGAAGGCGGCUCUCUGGACAGUUCCUGACGCUGAUGCACGAAGGCCAGGGGAGCAAACGGG